GAUAGGCUAGAUAGUGUACUUAUAUUACAAGUUUGACUUUAAACAAAGAAAGAAUUCUACUGAGCUCGAUCCUGAAAAGUAAAGAAAACUGGUCUGGGCUCAUUCUGCAAAACGAGUACCUUCUACACGAAGGACUGAAAAUGAAAAUAGAAGGACCGAAAGGAUUGGGAAGAAGAAGAAUGCAGCUGUGAUAGAAAAAAAAAAUAGAAAAUAGAAAAUACAGGGAACUGAAAGUCAAAGCACGGGCACAAGGCUUUAGUUGAGGAUUUGUGCACAUAUUUGGAUUACUCAAGCCUCGAAUAGAUCUAUUUACACUCGACAACAUAAUUUUGCCAUAAGGAUGAUGAAGGGUACACACUGCAAAUGCAAAUAAAUCAUAUUCUAAUAAUUAAAGAUAAUUUACUUAAAUCAGGAGAAAUGUCAUAAGAGACUUUAGUUGAGGAUUUGUGCAGAUAUUUGGAUUACUCGAGCCUCGAAUAGAUCUAUUCACUCUCGACAAUAUAACUUUGCCAUAAGAAUGAUGAAGGGUACACACUGCAAAUGCAAAUAAAUCAUAUUCUAAUAUUUAAAGAUAAUUUAAACCUAACUUAAAUCAGGAGAAAUAUCAUAAGGGGCUUUAGUUGAGGAUUUGUGCAGAUAUUUGGAUUACUCGAGCCUUGAAUAGAUCUAUUUACACUCAACAAUAUAACUUUGCCAUAAGGAUGAUGAAGGGUACAC